UAUCACGUUGCCUAGCAGGGUAAGGCGUCAGAUCGGGUGUCCUCGAAUCUCUGUGCUAGUUGGGCCUCCAUAUUCUAGGAAGCCUCAGAGAGCUUUUCGCCUUUUCUUGGAUGUCGAGCCACCUUCAGUCCCUGAGUCUCAGUUCAUCUGUGUAUGGGGUCCAGCAAAAGGAUCAAUUUCCUUUGUUGGAUCAUCGCGAGCCUUAUGAGCUUCUCAUGGUUACCCCGAAGGCACCAUCGC
rnacentral:lncRNA from 1 species